CAAUUCAAUUCAAUUCAAUUCAAUUCAAGGUGCUUUAUUGGCAUGGGAAACAUGUGUUAACAUUGCCAAAGCAAGUUAGGUAGAUAAUAUACAAUUACACAGGUAGUAAUGUUCUGAUUGGUUGUUCUACUGGCUGUCUCUACAGGUGAGACACACAGGUAGUAAUGUUCUGGUUGGUUGUUCUACUGGCUGUCUCUACAGGUGAGACACACAGGUAGUAAUGUUCUGGUUGGUUGUUCUACUGGCGGUCUCUACAGGUGAGACACACAGGUAGUAAUGUUCUGGUUGGUUGUUCUACUGGCUGUCUCUACAGGUGAAACACACAGGUAGGAAUGUUCUGGUUGGUUGUUCUACUGGCUGUCUCUACAGGUGUUGCAGGAAGCUACAUAUCUAACAUGGCACAGAGGGAUUUUUCUCCUUUUCUGUUUUGGCUUCCAAAAUCUUUUGUGUUUCCGUUACAUUUUGGGGAAGAAAAUUACCUGUAAGUCUGUAUAGUUCUGGCAGUGUAAAAAAUGAAGCUCUGUCUCAACUUGUCCUCUCAUGGUAGCCAGAUCUGUCUGUGAUUGCCAGUCUCUACGGCCAGGCUGUCCUCUCUGGGUAGCCAGAUCUGUCUGUGAUUGCCAGUCUCUACGGCCAGGCUGUCCUCUCUGGGUAGCCAGAUCUGUCUGUGAUUGCCAGUCUCUACGGCCAGACUGUCCUCUCUGGGUAGCCAGAUCUGUCUGUGAUUGCAAGUCUCUACGGCCAGACUGUCCACAGAGUUUUCUAUCAGACACAGUGGUCAGAUACCUGAUGUACUGUCUGUUUAGAGACAGAUUUUCUGAGUGCUGUCCUGAGGCGCUCUGUCAAUUCAAUUUCAAUUCAAGGGCUUUAUUGGCAUGGGAAACAUGUGUUAACAUUGCCAAAGCAAGUGAGGUAGAUAAUAUACAAAGUGAAAUAAACAAUAAAAAUUAACAGUAAACAUUACACAUACAGAAGUUUCAAAACAAUAAAGACAUUACAAAUGUCAUAUUAUAUAUAUACAGUGUAUUAACAAUGUACAAAUGGUUAAAGGACACAAGAUAAAAUAAAUAAGCAUAAAUAUGGGUUGUAUUUACAAUGGUGUUUGUUCUUCACUGGUUGCCCUUUUCUCGUGGCAACAGGUCACAAAUCUUGCUGCUGUGAUGGCACACUGUGGAAUUUCACCCAGUAGAUAUGGAAGUUUAUCAAAAUUGGAUUUGUUUUUGAAUUCUUUGUGGAUCUGUGUAAUCUGAGGGAAAUAUGUCUCUCUA
ensembl:lncRNA